CCAUAAACCCGACAGCAGCGAAAAUACUUUUUAAAGUAUGGCCUUAAUACAAAGCAAUUGCAACAGAUGGAAAAGAUGCUUCGUUCUCAGCAUGACAGAAGUUUAAAAGAUUGUAGCGAAUGGCGGGACUGCAG
rnacentral:sRNA from 1 species